GACGAACGCUGGCGGCGUGCUUAACACAUGCAAGUCGAACGGUGAAGCGCCUUCCUUUUUGGUGGGUGUGGAUGAGUGGCGAACGGGUGAGUAACACGUGAGUAACCUGCCCCCUUCUUCUGGAUAACCGCAUGAAAGUGUGGCUAAUACGGGAUAUUCUGGGUCUGUCGCAUGAUGGGUCUGGGAAAGAUAUUGUUUCGGUGGGGGAUGGGCUCGCGGCCUAUCAGCUUGUUGGUGGGGUGAUGGCCUACCAAGGCGGUGACGGGUAGCCGGCCUGAGAGGGUGGACGGUCACACUGGGAAUGAGACACGGCCAAGACUCCUACGGGAGGCAGCAGUGGGGAAUAUUGCACAAUGGGCGCAAGCCUGAUGCAGCGACGCCGCGUGAGGGAUGGAGGCCUUCGGGUUGUGAACCUCUUUCGCCAGUGAAGCAGGCCUGCCUCGUUUGUGGGUGGGUUGACGGUAGCUGGAUAAGAAGCGCCGGCUAACUACGUG
rnacentral:rRNA from 1 species